rnacentral:rRNA from 1 species
ACGGGAGGCAGCAGUGGGGGAUAUUGCACAAUGGAGGAAACUCUGAUGCAGCAACGCCGCGUGAGGGAAGAAGGUCUUCGGAUUGUAAACCUAAGUUAUCAGGGACGAAUCAAAUGACGGUACCUGAAGAGAAAGCUCCGGCUAACUACGUGCCAGCAGCCGCGGUAAUACGUAGGGAGCGAGCGUUGUCCGGAUUUACUGGGUGUAAAGGGUGCGUAGGCGGGCUUGCAAGUCAGGCGUGAAAUCCCGCGGCUUAACUGCGGGGCUGCGCUUGAAACUGUAGGUCUUGAGUGAAGUAGAGGCAAGCGGAAUUCCCAGUGUAGCGGUGAAAUGCGUAGAUAUUGGGAGGAACACCAGUGGCGAAGGCGGCUUGCUGGGCUUUAACUGACGCUGAGGCACGAAAGCAUGGGGAGCAAACAGGAUUAGAUACCCUGGUA